CUUGAACUCACUUUGUAGCACAGGCUGGCCUUAAAUUCACAGCCAUCCUCCUGCCUCAGCCUUCUGAGUGCUGGGAU
rnacentral:miRNA from 1 species